UUUGUUAUUUCUACCUUAGAUUGCAGUUGUCAAAGGGAAAGAAUAUGCAAGUGCUGGCUACAACGUGCUUGAUCAUCAAACGCUGAAUUUAUAGGGGAAAUGGUGCAAUGAACAAAUUAAAGACAAGUUCGUUUGGUGAUACUAAGCCAAUUACACCUAAGUGGAUUGAAGUUAAGAGUCACGUUCAAACCGAAUGUUAUGAAUGUGGAUAUUACGUGAUGCAUUGGAUGUGGAACAUCAUAAGCGGGGAGAUGAAGAGUGAUUGGUCCCAGUGGUUUGGUGAUGAUACGCCAUUGGGCAUAGACACCAUCACAACAAUUCAGAAGAAAUGGACUAGUUUUUAAAGAAUACAGACAUUGGCCGGGUGUAAAAAGGCUUCGUGAUGGGUUAGGAAUAACAAUUUUGGUGUAUUUGAGACAAUUGGUAUAAAUUUUUUUAUCGGCAUUUAUACUAUUUUUGAUUCAUAGUAGUAAUACAGUGAGUAAUACAGUUAUUGUGGCGUGAAUCAUGUCUGCUUUUGUGUAGAAUCAUGGCCAUCCUGUGUGUUAUUUUUUACACUGGUAAAUGAUUUUCCAUGUGGAGCAAUUUAGUGUUGCUCUUAUUUUUCCCACAGGAGCAGUUUAGUGUUGUUGUUAUACCUCUCUUUGUCUCUCUGAAUCUGCAAAGGCUAGGUCAAUAUCUCUCUCUUAAGUUUUAUCUCUGAUAUCGAUAAAUGAUAGACAACCCUUGAAUUUUCACAAGUUUUCGUUGUUAUUGUAGUUUUAAAAAAGCUAUUCUUUCUGCGUUCCCUCCUUUCAUGUGUAUUGCGCUGGAUUUAAUUAAUGUAAAAGCAUAAUUUGCUCAUGUGCAUGCCCAUUGUGGUUUAAACAUCUGCAUCUAUAUCCCAACAUGUAUUUAGCAUACUACCAUGCUUAUAUCUUAAGAAACUGCUUCAUAAUAUAAGGGCCUCAAUCUGUACAUUAGUAUAUAAAGGCUCUUAUGAAUUAGUUUUGAAGGUCUUGUUCUUAUUGGACAUAUUGAUCCAUUUGUUAGUCCAUGUGGGGGACUGUGGCUGGUGUCUUCUAGUUAGUGUUCCUUGGGAAAAACUUGUCUUAUGCUUGGAUUAUAGAUUUUUUUGAGUUUGCAGAGUUAUAUAUGGUUAUGUGGUUAGUAACAAAAUUCAUUCCUAGAUCCUGAAGAGGGUGUUGCAUUAAUUGAUUCGUUUAACCCAGUCUAAUUCAUUCAUAGAGAAUGUGUUGCUUCAAAAUUAAGUAGGCUGCAUUACAGAAACAUAAUUUUGUAGCCUUUAUGGCGAUGCCUUAAUAAACAACAUGAUGUAGGCAUUAGAGAAACAUGACUUGGUUAGUCUCAUUUGCCACAGUUUUUAACCUCUGACUCAUAGAGGUUUAGAUUAGUCACCACACUAGAUGUCAUAUAUGUUCGACAUUCAUCAUACAGAUUACGUUUCGGUGGCAGCUUAUCCCUUAGAAGUGGAAGGUUUAUUCUAAAAGUCUGAAACACACCUUGUUUGCUGAUUGGGUUCCCUUUGUGACAUGGGUUUCACUUUAUUAUGGUAGCAGCAAAGCCAUGUUGAGCUUUAAACCUAACAAUACUAUGUGACUUGGAAUAUUAUGCAUUAUGCAGACUUUGUGUGCUCACACUACUUCAGUAUAAUCACUGCAUGUGGAGCAUGGUCAAGGGUAAUAAAUCUUUGGGAUUUGGAAGAAGCAAAGAGUAAGUUAAUUACUAUAUUCUCAAGUAAUGGACUGUAUAAUAUAUAAUCAUGUUAUUUAUAUGGCUUCAGACUUUUGAGCUUCUUCAAAAGUGCAAACUACCUGAUGAUAAACAAACAAUUAGUUGAUUUAAGAAUUGAG